GGGUGAUGGGACUAUCAAGUAGGCUGAGAUCGCUGGUUGCAGCAGGAUGGAGUUGUUGGCCUAUUUCACAAGUGCACAAAAUCGCUCAAGUAAUAUAAUGAUAAAUAAGAGAUCGUUCCCACGAGGAUUGAGUUUAAUUAUCAAAAAUGAACGCUAAUUUUACUAAUAUCUAAAUGAUCAAAACUGAAUGACAGUGAAAAAUAAAAUUAACUCUAAAGAACUCAAUGAAAGCUGAAUCAAAAUUCGAUUAAUAAAGCACUAG
rnacentral:lncRNA from 1 species